ACGAAGAAAGGUAUAAUGGUUAUCAUGGCAGCCUUCCAAGUUGUCGAUCCGGGUUCGAUUCCCGGGCCUCGCA
rnacentral:tRNA from 1 species